rnacentral:rRNA from 1 species
UACGUAGGGGGGCAAGCGUUGUCCGGAUUCAUUGGGCGUAAAGAGCGUGUAGGCGGCCAGGUAGGUCGGUUGUGAAAACUGGAGGCUCAACCUUCAGAGGUCGACCGAAACCAUCUGGCUAGAGUCCGGGAGAGGAGAGUGGAAUUCCUGGUGUAGCGGUGAAAUGCGCAGAUAUCAGGAAGAACACCCCGUGGCGAAAGCGGCUCUCUGGAACGGUACUGACGCUGAGACGCGAAAGCGUGGGGAGCGA